GGGAUUGCCCUAGUAACGGCGAGUGAAGCGGCAACAGCUCAAAUUUGAAAUCUGGCGUCUUUGGCGUCCGAGUUGUAAUUUGCAGAGGGCGCUUUGGCAUUGGCAGCGGUCCAAGUUCCUUGGAACAGGACGUCACAGAGGGUGAGAAUCCCGUACGUGGUCGCUAGCCUUUACCGUGUAAAGCCCCUUCGACGAGUCGAGUUGUUUGGGAAUGCAGCUCUAAAUGGGAGGUAAAUUUCUUCUAAAGCUAAAUACUGGCCAGAGACCGAUAGCGCACAAGUAGAGUGAUCGAAAGAUGAAAAGCACUUUGGAAAGAGAGUUAAAAAGCACGUGAAAUUGUUGAAAGGGAAGCGCUUGCAGCCAGACUUGCCUGUAGUUGCUCAUCCGGGUUUUUACCCGGUGCACUCUUCUAUAGGCAGGCCAGCAUCAGUUUGGGCGGUUGGAUAAAGGUCUCUGUCAUGUACCUCUCUUCGGGGAGAACUUAUAGGGGAGACGACAUGCAACCAGCCUGGACUGAGGUCCGCGCAUCUGCUAGGAUGCUGGCGUAAUGGCUGUAAGCGGCCCGUCUUGAAACACGGACCAAGGAGUCUAACAUCUAUGCGAGUGUUUGGGUGUCAAGCCCGAGCGCGUAAUGAAAGUGAACGGAGGUGGGAACCCCUCGGGGUGCACCAUCGACCGAUCCUGAUGUCUUCGGAUGGAUUUGAGUAAGAGCAUAGCUGUUGGGACCCGAAAGAUGGUGAACUAUGCUUGAAUAGGGUGAAGCCAGAGGAAACUCUGGUGGAGGCUCGCAGCGGUUCUGACGUGCAAAUCGAUCGUCAAAUUUGGGCAUAGGGGCGAAAGA
rnacentral:rRNA from 1 species